CAUUAGGUGACCGAACG
rnacentral:tRNA from 1 species